rnacentral:rRNA from 1 species
UACAGAGGUCCCAAGCGUUGUUCGGAUUCACUGGGCGUAAAGGGUGCGUAGGUGGUUGCGUAAGUCUGAUGUGAAAUCUCCGGGCUCAACCCGGAAAUGGCAUUGGAAACUGCGUGGCUAGAGGGUUGGAGGGGGGACUGGAAUACUUGGUGUAGCAGUGAAAUGCGUAGAUAUCAAGUGGAACACCAGUGGCGAAGGCGAGUCCCUGGACAACACCUGACACUGAGGCACGAAAGCCAGGGGAGCAAACGGG